rnacentral:rRNA from 2 species
UCGACGAACUCUGGUAUUGAUUGGUGCUUGCAUCAUGAUUUACAUUUGAGUGAGUGGCGAACUGGUGAGUAACACGUGGGAAACCUGCCCAGAAGCGGGGGAUAACACCUGGAAACAGAUGCUAAUACCGCAUAACAACUUGGACCGCAUGGUCCGAGNUUGAAAGAUGGCUUCGGCUAUCACUUUUGGAUGGUCCCGCGGCGUAUUAGCUAGAUGGUGGGGUAACGGCUCACCAUGGCAAUGAUACGUAGCCGACCUGAGAGGGUAAUCGGCCACAUUGGGACUGAGACACGGCCCAAACUCCUACGGGAGGCAGCAGUAGGGAAUCUUCCACAAUGGACGAAAGUCUGAUGGAGCAACGCCGCGUGAGUGAAGAAGGGUUUCGGCUCGUAAAACUCUGUUGUUAAAGAAGAACAUAUCUGAGAGUAACUGUUCAGGUAUUGACGGUAUUUAACCAGAAAGCCACGGCUAACUACGUGCCAGCAGCCGCGGUAAUACGUAGGUGGCAAGCGUUGUCCGGAUUUAUUGGGCCGUAAAGCGAGCGCAGGCGGUUUUUUAAGUCUGAUGUGAAAGCCUUCGGCUCAACCGAAAAAGUGCAUCGGAAACUGGGAAACUUGAGUGCAGA